CUAGUAAUCGCGGAUCAGAAUGCCGCGGUGAAUACGUUCCCGGGUCUUGUACACACCGCCCGUCACACCAUGGGAGUCGAUAACGCCCGAAGUCAGUGACCCAACCUGUAAGGAGGGAGCUGCCGAAGGCGGGAUUGAUAACUGGGGUGAAGUCGUAACAAGGUACC
rnacentral:rRNA from 1 species